rnacentral:tRNA from 1 species
CAGAGCGUAGCUUAGCAGUAUAGCAUCUCCCUUACACCGAGAAGACACCCGUGCAAGCCGGGUCGCACUGA